UGAAUACGAGAUGCUACGGCGUCGAAGCAGUCUAUGUCAUACUUCCAAGAAAAGCUUGCACUGUCAUAAACAAAUAAUGCCUGUACCAUAACCGACACAGGUGGGUAGGUAGAGUAUACUAAGGGGCGCGAGAUAACUCUCUCUAAGGAACUCGGCAAAAUGACUCCGUAACUUCGGGAGAAGGAGUGCCUUAUUUAUAAGGUUGCAAUAACAAGAUCCAAGCAACUGUUUACCAAAAACACAGGUCUCCGCUAAGUCGUAAGACGAUGUAUGGGGGCUGACGCCUGCCCAGUGCCAGAAGGUUAAAGAAGUUGGUUAGCAUCCGCGAAGCUGAUAACUGAAGCCCUGGUGAACGGCGGCCGUAACAAUAACGGUCCUAAGGUAGCGAAAUUCCUUGUCGGGUAAGUUCCGACCCGCACGAAAGGCGUAAUGAUUUGGAUACUGUCUCGGAGAGGGGCUCGGUGAAAUAGACUUGUCUGUGAAGAUGCGGACUACCUGCACCAGGACAGAAAGACCCUAUGAAGCUUUACUGUAACCUGAAAUUGAAAUUGGACUUUACUUGCGCAGUAUAGGUGGGAGGCGUUGAGAAUAUUCUUGCGGGAUUAUUGGAGCCAUCAGUGAGAUACCACUCUUGUAAUGUUAGAUUUCUAACUUUGUAUCAUUAUCUGGUCAAAGAACAGUUUCAGGCGGGCAGUUUGACUGGGGCGGUCGCCUCCUAAACGGUAACGGAGGCGCACAAAGGUUUCCUCUGAACGGGUAGAAAUCGUAUCUAGAGUGUAAAGGCAUAAGGAAGCUUGACUGUGAGACCUACAAGUCGAGCAGGGACGAAAGUCGGUCUUAGUGAUCUGACGGUGCUGAGUGGAAAGGCCGUCACUCAACGGAUAAAAGUUACUCUAGGAUAACAGGCUGAUCUCCCCCAAGAGUUCACAUCGACGGGGAGGUUUGGCACCUCGAUGUCGGCUCAUCGCAUCCUGGGGCGGUAGUACGUCCCAAGGGUUGGGCUGUUCGCCCAUGAAAGCGGUACGCGAGCUGGGUUCAGAACGUCGUGAGACAGUUCGGUCCAUAUCCGGUGUAGGCGUUAGAAUAUUGAGAGGAGCCUUCUUUAGUACGAGAGGACCGAGAAGGACAUACCUCUGGUGUACCAGUUAUCGCGCCAACGGUAAACGCUGGGUAGCUAUGUGUGGAGUGGAUAACCGCUGAAAGCAUCUAAGUGGGAAGCCCACCUCAAGAUAAG
rnacentral:rRNA from 1 species